rnacentral:rRNA from 1 species
UACGUAGGGUGCAAGCGUUGUCCGGAAUUAUUGGGCGUAAAGAGCUCGUAGGCGGUUUGUCGCGUCCGCUGUGAAAAUCCAGGGCUUAACCCUGGACCUGCAGUGGGUACGGGCAGACUAGAGUGCGGUAGGGGAGAUCGGAAUUCCUGGUGUAGCGGUGAAAUGCGCAGAUAUCGGGAGGAACACCAAUGGCGAAGGCAGCUCGCUGGGACGUGACUGACGCUGAGACGCGAAAGCGUGGGGAGCAAACAGG